UAAGGCGUGACUCCUUGCUGUCGACGCAUAGUCUUCGCUGAGUUCACAGCAAGAACAUUCAACAUGAAGCUGAUCUCGAUGGCUCUGGCCCUGGUGGUGGCCCUGGCAUGCCUGGUGAGCUGGACCAGCGCCAUGCCUCAGCCUGACCCCGUGGCUGACCCUGACCCCGCGGCUGACCCUGGCUUCCGUCGCUUCGGUGGAUUGGGAUAUGGUGGAUACGGCUACGGAGGUCGUGGCUACGGGGGCUACGGCUACGGAGGAUAUCGCGGUGGCUUUUACGGAUAAAGAUAUCCUACUUCCCGCUUUUGAAAAGAACAUCCUAAACAAUGCUACAUGAACUUAACUUCCUGUUUUUCUUCUCAAAUAAACUUCAUGAAUCAAU
rnacentral:lncRNA from 1 species